AUAAGAGACAGGUGAAUCAUCGAAUCUUUGAACGCACAUUGCGCCCCUUGGUAUUCCAUGGGGCAUGCCUGUUCGAGCGUCAUUUGUACCCUCAAGCUCUGCUUGGUGUUGGGUGUUUGUCUCGCGGUUCUGCGCAGACUCGCCUUAAAACAAUUGGCAGCCGGCUUGUUAGCCUGGAGCGCAGCACAUAUUGCGCCUCUUGCUAGCGACUGCCCGGCACCCAUCAAGCCCAUUUAUUUGCUCUUGACCUCGGAUCAGGUAGGGAUACCCGCUGAACUUAAGCAUAUCAAUAAGCGGAGG
rnacentral:misc_RNA from 1 species